AGGCCUGUAAUGCAAACAAACUUUUCAAAAUUCAUGGCGCCAGAGUAGAUUCUGCUGAUCUGGCUGGCUAGGCAGGUGACCCCUUCCUUCUGUCACUGCUCCAUGUGUGCGUGUCCCUCCCNAAGCUUUGAGCACAUGUGAAGAGGACACGACCUUCCCGAAUAAGAGGACUUGUCUUUGGUCGAGGGUAUACGCAUAGCUGCACUCUCCUGCUACAACCUCCAAACAAGCUCUCAAAAUUCAUGCUGAAGACUGGAGAGCCAACUCAGUGGUCAGGAGUACUUGUUCUCUUACAAAGCAGCUAGGAUCAAUU
rnacentral:snRNA from 1 species